GUAACGGCGAGUGAAGCGGCAACAGCUCAAAUUUGAAAGCUGGCCCCCCCGGGGGUCCGCGUUGUAAUUUGUAGAGGAUGAUUCGGCGAGGGCUCCCGCCUAAGUCCCCUGGAACGGGGCGUCAUAGAGGGUGAGAAUCCCGUAUGCGGUGGGCUGCCUUAGCCAUGUGAAUCUCCUUCGACGAGUCGAGUUGUUUGGGAAUGCAGCUCUAAAUGGGAGGUAAAUUUCUUCUAAAGCUAAAUACCGGCCAGAGACCGAUAGCGCACAAGUAGAGUGAUCGAAAGAUGAAAAGCACUUUGGAAAGAGAGUUAAAAAGUACGUGAAAUUGUUGAAAGGGAAGCGCUUGCAGCCAGACUUGUCCGCAGUUGCUCAGCCGGUCUCCUGACCGGCGCACUCUUCUGCGGCCAGGCCAGCAUCAGUUCGGGCGGUCGGAUAAAGGCCCCGGGAACGUAGCUCCUCUCGGGGAGUGUUAUAGCCCGGGGUGGAAUGCGGCCAGCCUGGACUGAGGAUCUCGCUUCGGCUAGGAUGCUGGCGUAAUGGCUGUAAGCGGCCCGUCUUGAAACACGGACCAAGGAGUCUAACAUCUAUGCGAGUGUUUGGGUGUCAAACCCAUGCGCGUAAUGAAAGUGAACGGAGGUGGGAACCCUCGCGGGUGCACCAUCGACCGAUCCUGAUGUCUUCGGAUGGAUUUGAGUAAGAGCAUAGCUGUUGGGACCCGAAAGAUGGUGAACUAUGCCUGAAUAGGGUGAAGCCAGAGGAAACUCUGGUGGAGGCUCGCAGCGGUUCUGACGUGCAAAUCGAUCGUCAAAUUUGGGUAUAGGGGCGAAAGACUAAUCGAACCAUCGACUACUAGGUGGUUAAGAGGUGGCUGAAAGUGCCCACCUAGUCCCCCCGUCCUCGGACGGGGGGGCGACAUCGCCAAAUUGCGGGGACUCCCUUAGAGCCUCUACUACCGCGGCCGGCCGAAAGGCGCGGUGCAGCACCGGGUUAAUUGCCUAGGGUACGGUAAAAAGGUAGAGGAUUGGGAAAUCCGCAGCCAAGCGCCUAAGUCCCGCGGGAUACGGCGAAGGUUCAGAGACUAGAUGGCGGUGGGUCCGGCCCGAGGGCCGGGCCUAAGGUAU
rnacentral:sRNA from 1 species